rnacentral:snRNA from 1 species
GCUGGCUUCUACAUCUACAUGUGCUAAAAUUGGAACAAUACGGAGAAGAUUAGCAUGGCCCCUGGGCAAGAAUGACAUGCAAAUUUGUGAAGGGUCCCAUAUUUUU